UCAGGAAGCGUCAAGGCCACUGAUGCCUCCUCGGCCACUGACCUUGGGGAAGUAUCUGUUUUAUCUCAAGCCCAACAUUAUUAAUCAUUGGGCUUUUUUGAGAUUUCGAAGUACGUUAUAGGGAUUUCACUCCUAGCUGUCUUGAAGAAAAGCAGUCCACGUUUAAAUUAUAUUUGAUAAAGUGUGGCUCACAUUUUUAUCAUGUACUCAGGUCAGCGCUGCUCAUUAGCCGUAGUAAUCAGAGGAAGAAUGGAAUGACUUAUUGAUUGAAAUUGGCCCUUUAAUACACAAAAAGUUCUCCAUAAACCCGUGACUGGGCAUUGGAAAUGCUACAGCUUUCAUACUUGAAGGACUGUGAGACUUUGGGAUCGCAAAACGGUGUCUGAUAACUAAGGAGGAAGCAGAGGAGGAGACUCGAAGGGAGAAAGGGAAACAGCUCUGCAACAUACGGAGUAUUUUGCUAGCUGUGUGUUGAUAGAAAUCUCACUCUUGUCAUCUCCCUACACUGUGCUCACACAUGAAAAGAACUGUGGCUGUUUAUCAAGCACUUACCUGCCAGGAACUGUUCUUUAUAUAAAUUGUCUCAUUUGAACCUCACAACAACCCUAAGGACUAGGUACUGUAUUUUAUCCCCAUUUUAGGGAAAGGAAACAGGCUUAGAGAGUCAAAAAAGUACUUCUUAAACAUCGUACAGUAAGUUAAUAGCAGAAUUUGAACUCUACUCCAGGUCUGGCAAGACCGAAGUUUUACCAUCAUCCAGAAUACUAGCUGCCACACUAAAUGGUCAGCAAAUGAUGCCGAGUUUAAGAUCCGUUGAGGAGAAUGGCCUGGCGAGAAUUGCAGAAGAGCAGGCAAAGAUUAUGGAACCUCUGGAAUGAGAUGUAGAGAUGAGGACAUCAUCCUGGAUUAUCUGGGUGCGUCCUCAAUCCAGUGACAAGUGUCCUUGUAAGAGACACGGAGAACAGAGACACACAGAAGAGGAGCAGGCACGGUGACCAUAGAGGCCGAGAUUGGAGGGAUGUGGCCACAAGCCAAGUAGCACCUGGAACCACCGGAAGCUGGAAGGGACAAGGAACUGAUUUUUCCCCUGGAGCUUUCAAAGGGAGCACAGCCCUGCUUUUUGGACUUCUGGCCUCCAGACCUGUGAGAGAAUAAAUUUCUGUUGUUUUAAGCCACUAAAUUUGUGGUAAUUUGUUACGGCAGCAAAAGAAAGCUAAUACAAUUGGUAAUAUUACAUUACCUAAAUGUCCUAAAAUACCUAAUAACCUAAAUGUCUUAUAUAUGAAGAUUAUAUGUUUGAUUUCAAGGAGAAGAAACCACAUGAGCCAUCUCAAGCAAGAUGGGAUUUAUUCUAAGAAUGUCAAACUCAAGGGACCUGUGGAAAACUAUCCAAGCCUGAGUAGGAGCUCUGGGCCAUCAACACCACCCAGUAACUCUUGGGGUGCGGCUUUUUUCCUGUCCUGUGACCAAGUCAGCCAUGGGAGUCACUCUUCCAAAUUCCCAUGAAAGGGCUCUGAGUGACCCAGCUUGUAUUUGAAGUCCACUCUUGACCCAAACAAUUGUCAGGGGAGCGUCAAGCAAUUUGUAAUUUGCUUGUUUGAGCUUUCUGCUAAAUAGCUCUCUGCUAUGGCUUUUAAGUUUCAAGAAAUUAAUGUGCUUUUCCUUGAAAGCUUGCAUUAUUUUUUAAAUUGUGGUAAAAUAUACAUAACAUAAACUUUACCAUUGUAACCAUUUUAAAGUGUGCAAUUCAGUAACGUGGUACAUUCACAAUGUUGUGCAACCAUCCCCACUACCUAGUUCCAGAAUACUUUUAUCACCCUGAAAGGAAACCCCUUAUCCAUUAAGCAGUCACUUCUCCAUUUCCUCUCCCACAGUCCCUGGUAACUCUGAUCUGCUUUCUGUUUCUAUGGACUUGCCUUUUCUGAAAAUUUCAUAUAAAUGCAGUUGUACAAUAUGUGGCCUGUUGUGUUGGCUUCUUUCGCUGAACGUAAAUGUUUUCAGGGUUCAUCCAUGUUGAGGCAGUAUUUCAUUCCUUUUUUUAGCCAAAUACUAAUGCAUUGUAUGGAUCUACCACAUCUUGGUUAUCCAUCCAUUAAUUGAUGGACAUUUGGGUUGUUUCCACCUUUUGGCUACUGUGAAUAGUGCUGUUAUGAACGUUUGUGUACAGGUUUCUGUUUGAGUUCCCCCUUUUAAUUCUUUUGGGUAUAUACCCAGGAGUGGGAUUGCUGAGUCAUAGGGUAGUCAUAUGUUUUUUGGAGAACCACCAAACUGUUCCCACAGUGGAUGCACUGUUUUACACCCCAACAGCCAUGCAUGAGCUUCCGGUCUCUCUCCAUCCUCACCAACAAUUGUUGUUUUCUGGUUAUUUUUUGUUUGUUUGUUUUUGUGAUUAUAACCAUACUAGUGGAUGUGAUGUGGUAUCUCAUUGUGGUUUUGAUCUGCAUUUCCCUAAUGACUGAUGAUAUUGAGCUUCUGUUCACAUGCUUAUUAGCCAUUUGUGUGUCUUCUUUG